rnacentral:rRNA from 1 species
CACGGAGGGGGCUAGCGUUGUUCGGAAUGACUGGGCGUAAAGCGCGCGUAGGCGGGUCGGUAAGUUGGAUGUGAAAGCCCGGGGCUCAACCCAUGAUGUGCGUUCAAAACUGCCGGACUUGAGACCGUGAGAGGAGGGCGGAAUUCCCAGUGUAGAGGUGAAAUUCGUAGAUAUUGGGAAGAACACCGGUGGCGAAGGCGGCUCUCUGGUUCGGUUCUGACGCUGAGGUGCGAAAGCGUGGGGAGCAAACAGG